GCUUGCCUGUGUGUGGUGUUCAGUACCAAGGACAGGUUUGUUUACUUUGUGUUGGUUGUGUUCAGCACCAGGUACAGGUGUGUUUGGGA
rnacentral:pre_miRNA from 1 species